rnacentral:rRNA from 1 species
UACGUAGGGGGCUAGCGUUGUCCGGAUUUAUUGGGCGUAAAGAGCGUGUAGGCGGCCAGGUAGGUCUGCUGUGAAAACUCGAGGCUCAACCUCGAGACGUCGGCGGAAACCAUCUGGCUAGAGUCCGGAAGAGGAGAGUGGAAUUCCUGGUGUAGCGGUGGAAUGCGCAGAUAUCAGGAAGAACACCGACGGCGAAGGCAGCUCGCUGGGACGGUACUGACGCUGAGGCGCGAAAGCGUGGGGAGCGAACAGG